UACAUUCUCUCCUGGUGAUUUGUGACAUUUUGGUGUACCUAUCACUUAAGCAGUAUACACUGUACCCUAUCUGUAGUCUUUUAUCCCUCACUUCCCUCCUGUCCCUUCCCCCUGA